rnacentral:sRNA from 1 species
AAACAGACAUCUGGCAUAUUCCUAUAAUCAGUAUCAUGGCCUUUGUAUACAACAAAAUUGAUUGGAACUCCUAGACUAGAAAAAUAAUUCAAGAUUUAAAUAAGGCACUGUUCAUAGUUUUAGAAAGUGUGGCUAGCAUUCUGAAGGAAGACAGAGACAUGGAAAGUCAUCAAAGAAUGGGCAGGUCUGCCAAGAAAUGGUUUAUCCAGGGCUAAGUACAGAGAGGAAUAUAGAAGGGCUGUUGACAGAUCUUGUGUGGUGCCCCCAUGGUUCAACAGACUAAUUGAU